CGGAAUUACUGGGCGUAAAGGGCGCGUAGGCGGAUAGUUUAGUCAGAGGUGAAAGCCCAGGGCUCAACCUUGGAAUUGCCUUUGAUACUGGCUAUCUUGAGUUCGGGAGAGGUGAGUGGAAUGCCGAGUGUAGAGGUGAAAUUCGUAGAUAUUCGGCGGAACACCAGUGGCGAAGGCGACUCACUGGCCCGAUACUGACGCUGAGGCGCGAAAGCGUGGGGAGCGAACAGG
rnacentral:rRNA from 1 species